rnacentral:rRNA from 1 species
CUGGCUCAGAUUGAACGCUGGCGGCGUGCUUAACACAUGCAAGUCGUACGCGAAAGGGACUUCGGUCCCGAGUAAAGUGGCGCACGGGUGAGUAACACGUGGAUGAUCUGCCUCUAUGAUGGGGAUAACAGUUGGAAACGACUGCUAAUACCGAAUACGCUCAUGAUGAACGUUGUGAGGAAAGGUGGCCUCUGCUUGCAAGCUAUCGCAUAGAGAUGAGUCCGCGUCCCAUUAGCUCGUUGGUGGGGUAACGGCCUACCAAGGCAACGAUGGGUAGCCGAUCUGAGAGGAUGAUCGGCCACACUGGAACUGAAACACGGUCCAGACUCCUACGGGAGGCAGCAGUGGGGAAUAUUGCGCAAUGGGCGAAAGCCUGACGCAGCGACGCCGCGUGAGGGAUGAAGGUCUUCGGAUCGUAAACCUCUGUCAGAAGGGAAGAAACUGGGGUGUUCUAAUCAGCAUCCCACUGACGGUACCUUCAAAGGAAGCACCGGCUAACUCCGUGCCAGCAGCCGCGGUAAUACGGAGGGUGCAAGCGUUAAUCGGAAUCACUGGGCGUAAAGCGCACGUAGGCUGUUAUGUAAGUCAGGGGUGAAAGCCCACGGCUCAACCGUGGAACUGCCCUUGAUACUGCACGACUCGAAUCCGGGAGAGGGUGGCGGAAUUCCAGGUGUAGGAGUGAAAUCCGUAGAUAUCUGGAGGAACAUCAGUGGCGAAGGCGGCCACCUGGACCGGUAUGACGCUGAGG